CCAUUGCUUUCUUUAGUGAGAAGUUAAGUGAAGCUAGACAGAAAUGGAGUACCUAUCAGCAAGAAUUAUACGUCGUUUUCAGAGCGUUGAAAACUUGGGAAGUCUAUUUGCUGCCUAAAGAGUUCAUUGUUUAUAGCGACCAUCAAUCCUUGAAGCAUUUUAGAAAUCAAAAGCAUGUUGACCGCAUGCUAGCAAGAUGGGCAGCAUAUCUUGAGAGGUUUAACUAUCUCAUCGUGCAUAAAUCUGGAAUAACUAACAGAGUGGCCGAUGCUUUGAGUCGUCGUGCAUGCCUCUUGACUUCUUUUGAAGCUGAACUUCCGGGCAUGGGUCAAAUAAAGGAGUUGUAUGAGGGUGACGAAGACUUUGGCCAUGUUUGGGUAAAGCACGCAAGGGACCAACCAUUAGGUGAUGACUAUUUGAUGCAAGAUGGAUAUCUCUUCAAAAAUGAUCGUUUGUGCAUUCCAAGAAGUUCUCUACGUGACAAGCUGGUUAGAGAGCUCCAUUCAAGUGAUCUUAGUGGCCAUGUUGGACGGGACAAGACUAUCGCUAACCUGGAAGCUCGCUACUUUUGGCCACAACUAAAGAGAGAUGCUGGAAAGUUCGUUGAACGGUGCCCCGUAUGUCAGACUUGCAAAGUCCAAGUCUAGAACACAGGGUUAUACAUGCCUUUGCCUGUUCCUGUUGCUCCAUGGGAGGACAUUUCUAUGGACUUCGUCUUGGGCUUGCCAAGAACAAGAUGAGGAAGUGACGCUGUAUUUGUGGUCGUGGAUAGAUUCUCUAAGAUGGCUCAUUUCAUCCCAUGCCGCAAGACAACGGAUGCUCAUCAUGUGGCAAACCUAUUCUUUCAAGAAGUGGUCAGACUUCAUGGAGUUCCAAGGUCCAUUGUCUCAGACCGUGAUAGCAAGUUUCUUGCUGCAUUUUGGCUCACUUUGUGGAAGCAAUUCAACACUGAAUUGAAAUUUUCUAGCACUGCUCAUCCACAAACAGAUGGACAAAUGGAAGUGGUGAACAAGUUUUUGGGUAAUCUGAUCCGUUGCAUUUGUGGAGAAAGAAAGGGGCAAUGGGAUUUGGCUUUAUCUCUUGCAGAGUUCUCCUACAAUAACUCCAAGCAUAGAUCCACAGGAAGGAGCCCUUUUUCCGUUGUCUACACUAAAGUUCCAACACAUGUGGUGGACCUGGUGAAGCUACCAUCAAGGGAAAACUCAAAAUCAGCAUUGUCCUUUGCUGAUAAUUACACCGAGUUAUUUGAAGAGAUUCGCGGCGCUUUGGAAGCACAAAAUCAGAAAUAUAAACAACUUGCUGAUUGCAAAAGGAGGCCAAAAUCAUUCCAAGUCGGUGAUAAGGUGAUGGUCUACCUCCGAAAAGAGAGGCUGCCUUUAGGUGUUAAAGGGAAACUUAGGCAGCGAAGGUAUGGGCCCUUCUCUAUCAUGAGGAAGAUAAAUGAUAAUGCUUAUGUGAUAGAUCUUCCAAGUGACAUGGGUAUCUCCAACACUUUCAAUGUUGCGGACUUGACUCUCUACCAUCCAGAAGAAGCGCUCUAUGAAGAUAACUCGAGGGCAAGUUCCAAACAACCAGGGGAGAAUGAUGAGGAACACUAGAU
rnacentral:lncRNA from 1 species